rnacentral:rRNA from 1 species
GACGAACGCUGGCGGCGUGCUUAACACAUGCAAGUCGUACGGUAAGGCCCUUUCGGGGGUACACGAGUGGCGAACGGGUGAGUAACACGUGAGUAACCUGCCCACAACUUUGGGAUAACGCUAGGAAACUGGUGCUAAUACUGGAUAUGUGCUCCUGCUGCAUGGUGGGGGUUGGAAAGCUCCGGCGGUUGUGGAUGGACUCGCGGCCUAUCAGCUUGUUGGUGGGGUAGUGGCCUACCAAGGCGGCGACGGGUAGCCGGCCUGAGAGGGUGACCGGCCACAUUGGGACUGAGAUACGGCCCAGACUCCUACGGGAGGCAGCAGUGGGGAAUAUUGCACAAGGGGCGCAAGCCUGAUGCAGCAACGCCGCGUGCGGGAUGACGGCCUUCGGGUUGUAAACCGCUUUCAGCAGGGACGAAACUUUUUGUGACGGUACCUGCAGAAGAAGCACCGGCUAACUACGUG